rnacentral:misc_RNA from 1 species
ACACCUCAACUCUUCAUGGUUUUCUGUGAUGAGCUUGGACUUUGGGGGUUUUGCUGGCCUAUGGUCGGCUCCUCUGAAAUGAAUCAGCUUGCCGGUGUUUGGUGGGCAUCACAGGUGUGAUAACUAUCUACGCUUGUGGUUUUCCACCAGGUAACCUUCAGCAGUGGAGGUUCACUGGAGCUCACAGAUGUCUCUCCUCGGUGAGGACGGCCUUUGAAC